rnacentral:rRNA from 1 species
UGGGGGAAUAUUGCACAAUGGAGGAAACUCUGAUGCAGCGACGCCGCGUGAGUGAAGAAGUAAUUCGUUAUGUAAAGCUCUAUCAGCAGGGAAGAUAGUGACGGUACCUGACUAAGAAGCUCCGGCUAAAUACGUGCCAGCAGCCGCGGUAAUACGUAUGGAGCAAGCGUUAUCCGGAUUUACUGGGUGUAAAGGGAGUGUAGGUGGCCAUGCAAGUCAGAAGUGAAAAUCCGGGGCUCAACCCCGGAACUGCUUUUGAAACUGUAAGGCUGGAGUGCAGGAGGGGUGAGUGGAAUUCCUAGUGUAGCGGUGAAAUGCGUAGAU